CCUACGGGUGGCUGCAGUGGGGAAUUUUCCGCAAUGGGCGAAAGCCUGACGGAGCAAGACCGCGUGAGGGAGGAAGGCUCUUGGGUUGUAAACCUCUUUUCUCUGGGAAGAAGACAGUGACGGUACCAGAGGAAUCAGCAUCGGCUAACUCCGUGCCAGCAGCCGCGGUAAUACGGAGGAUGCAAGCGUUAUCCGGAAUUAUUGGGCGUAAAGCGUCCGUAGGUGGCAAUUCAAGUCUGCCGUUAAAACCAGUGGCUUAACCACUGACAGGCGGU
rnacentral:rRNA from 1 species